CAAGAGCCAUAGAACAGUAAAGAAAAAUGCCAAGUACAUUAGUGUUCAAUCAGAUGAGGAAGAAGACACCAUGGCAAGAAAGCAGCCUCCGCCAAAGAAAAGGCGCAUUUUGGACUCUUCUUUGGCAGUAAUAAAGGAAAAGUUGAAGGGAAAAUUGGCAGAUAAAUUUGAGGUCGAAGUUGGGGGAGAUGAUGACAUGUGCAAGGAGGAGGAAAACACGUACCAGGUA